GACGAACGCUGGCGGCGUGCUUAACACAUGCAAGUCGAACGAUGAACCACUUCGGUGGGGAUUAGUGGCGAACGGGUGAGUAACACGUGGGCAAUCUGCCCUUCACUCUGGGACAAGCCCUGGAAACGGGGUCUAAUACCGGAUACUGACCCUCGCAGGCAUCUGCGAGSUUCGAAAGCUCCGGCGGUGAAGGAUGAGCCCGCGGCCUAUCAGCUUGUUGGUGAGGUAAUGGCUCACCAAGGCGACGACGGGUAGCCGGCCUGAGAGGGCGACCGGCCACACUGGGACUKAGACACGGCCCAGACUCCUACGGGAGGCAGCAGUGGGGAAUAUUGCACAAUGGGCGAAAGCUGAUGCAGCGACGCCGCGUGAGGGAUGACGGCCUUCGGGUUGUAAACCUCUUUCAGCAGGGAAGAAGCGAAAGUGACGGUACCUGCAGAAGAAGCGCCGGCUAACUACGUGC
rnacentral:rRNA from 1 species